UGCGAGGAGAACUGGAGCUUUGGUUAACUCGCUGAUGCCUGCUGACAGAUUACAGCACUUCCAACCUCAGGAAACCCACCACCGCCUGAGAACAAAGUCUGAGCUCCUGUGUGGCUCGUCUGGACAUUCUUUUUUAUCUAAGUAUUCUGUAAGACUACUCUCUUUGAACUGGAUUUGGAUAUUGUUACGCUUCUUUUUUUUAUGUCUUUACAGUUGAAUAGCCAGUAGGGGGAGUCACAAGCACAACCCUUCUGCCUCCCUGAUGUAUACUGUCCAAUACUAAAUUAUGAACUGCAUACAUGAAGAACAAAUGAGAUAACUGAGAAGAUCUUCCAGGAUAUUCCAGCUCUCCUCCGUCCAUUAUGUGUCCAGUCCCAGCCCACUGAACAUCCGCCAUAUUGUCAGGACCAGAAGGCACGUUACACCAAUGACUGCACUCACAUGUUUCUGAUUUAUCUGAGCAUGUGCAAGAUAAACUCUGAGCUU